rnacentral:rRNA from 1 species
UACGGAGGGGACUAGCGUUGUUCGGAAUUACUGGGCGUAAAGCGCCACGUGAGCGGAUUUGUAAGUCAGGGGUGAAAUCCCGGGGCUCAACCUCGGAACUGCCUUUGAUACUGCAAAUCUCGAGUCCGGAAGAGGUGAGUGGAAUUCCUAGUGUAGAGGUGAAAUUCGUAGAUAUUAGGAAGAACACCAGUGGCGAAGGCGGCUCACUGGUCCGGUACUGACGCUGAGGCGCGAAAGCGUGGGGAGCAAACAGG